CCUACGGGAGGCAGCAGUGAGGAAUAUUGGUCAAUGGGCGGGAGCCUGAACCAGCCAAGUCGCGUGAAGGAAGAAGGUACUUAGUAUUGUAAACCUCUUUUGCCGGGGAGCAAGGGCCGGGACGCGUCCCGGCCCGGAAAGUACCCGGAGAAAAAGCAUCGGCUAACUCCGUGCCAGCAGCCGCGGUAAUACGGAGGAUGCGAGCGUUAUCCGGAUUUAUUGGGUUUAAAGGGUGCGUAGGCGGGCUUUUAAGCCAGCGGUAAAAAUUCGGGGCUCAACCCCGUCCGGCCGUUGAAACUGGGGGC
rnacentral:rRNA from 1 species